UGAGAACCGGACUGCAGUGCUCAGGC
rnacentral:piRNA from 1 species